AGUCUCUACUGUCCUCUAGAGUUCUAAGGAAUUUGUCUCUUUAUUUGCUGAAUCUCUGGGGAGGUUUUUUUCGGGGGAUGUCUUAAAUUGCCAUGUUGAUAACGUCCUCCAGUGAAUUUUUAAUGUGAGCUGCUCUCGUCCUUUCUCUGGUGCUGCCACUUCUGCAGCAAUGCAGCUGCUCACGUGUCUUCUUGAUCAACAUGAAUCCAGUCGCAAAAAAGAUGACUGUGCCCUGCAACCAGCUCUUACCCGUGGACGUGGUGUCCAAGGAGGAUGUUUGCAGUGUUGGGAUCCUCAUCAGCCUGGUUCUGUGGCUUGUUGCGUGCUGUGGUCUGGACAGGGAGCUCCUCUUUGUUCUGCCUGUUUCUGAGCCUGGUCCCAGGCUUCCUGACAGUUUGGCAUCUGGCCAGUUUAACCCAGACUGCUGCCACUACCCUCAACUUGACCAUUGACCAAUGAAGGAUCUUAAUCUAAAAAGCUCUCAGAAACCUUCCAAUAUCCACUGAUUCCAGAAAGGAACAGCCUCCCUUUGAGAUGACAGCAACAAGAUUAAUUUUCUGGAUGCUGAUAUAAUUCCCUGGACUCUUUUGUAUAUUUUUCACAGACUGCUGAUUGUUCUAAACUCUCUAGUGUGAGUGGUAAUGGACAAUCGCCUUGCCCUGGGCUUCCUGCUAGCCGGCUGAGGCUGGAUAUGUGUUGUGCCAAUACUUCUUGCUGCACCUGGAUUAAUGACCUAUUAAACUGACUUGGGUCUGGGUGGGGAGCCUGGCUGUGAUCUAUAUUCCAAGGGAGCCCCUCACCUAACUGGGAGUCAUCGUCAUGGUCACUCUCACCCGAUAUUGCUUAAGAUAAACAAAACAUGCCUUGUCCAAGCCCCUAUCAGUACAACUGAUUAUGGUAUCUGACGGGGUGGCCCAGGCUCCUGAUAAUUCUUAGCUGGGUACAGGAAAGGUCAGGAGGUGGAGCUGUAGGGGAAUGGCUUUCCCGUGGUGAUCUUGCACACAUCCAUGUAGACUCCACAGGUAGAGACCUUGUGCCUGUGCAACUGGAAUGAUACCAGAGACCAGUGGGAAACUGAGGCCAUGCUUCUCCAUGUCAAGGUGAACUUCACACACCUUGACCUUGUCCCAGGCAAUCGUUUGUACCCUUCCACCCUUUUGUGGGUGAAAGGGGAGGAACAAGUAUCUGCAUGUAUGGGUAAUUGUUCGGCUCCUGAAGGUGCAGGCGUGCUGAUCUUCUAUAGAGCUAAGUAAACUUAGUGCUAGAUUACAGUCUGUUGAGUCUUACGUUGAUUGCUGACUCACUCUGCUGGUGAUGGGACAGACCUGAAUCUUCAGAAUGAGGACGGAAGUGAGUCAGAUACAUCAAUAAAUGUACCAAUAAAUGUAACGAGUUAAACGCAACCAUUAAAAAGAAGGUUCAUAGAUGGAAUUAAAUAUUAAAUACCUCUAUAUAAUGUCUAUAUAAUGUUUAUAAAGGACACAUCUUUAUAACAGGUAACACAGUUUGAAAACAAAAGGAUAGAAAAAAGAUAAAUCAGACAAAUAUUCAGCAAAAAAA